rnacentral:rRNA from 1 species
UCGAGGAUCUUCGGCAAUGGGCGAAAGCCUGACCGAGCGACGCCGCGUGUGGGAUGAAGGCCUUCGGGUUGUAAACCACUGUCGUAGAGGAGGAAAUUCUGGGGGGUUCUCCCCUCGGUUUGACCUAUUCUAGGAGGAAGUCAGGGCUAAGUUCGUGCCAGCAGCCGCGGUAAGACGAACCUGACAAACGUUAUUCGGAAUUACUGGGCUUAAAGGGUGCGUAGGCGGCGCGACAAGUUGGGUGUGAAAUCCCUCGGCUCAACCGAGGAACUGCGCUCAAUACUGCCAUGCUCGAGGGAGACAGAGGUGAGCGGAACUUAGGGUGGAGCGGUGAAAUGCGUUGAUAUCCUAAGGAACACCGGUAGCGAAAGCGGCUCACUGGGUCUUUUCUGACGCUGAGGCACGAAAGCUAGGGUAGCGAACGGGAUUAGAUACCCCCGUAGUCC